UCCCCAGUGCCAUGUUCAUUCCAGCUACCUCAUCCCCUGCAAGUUCUGGGUGAGCGAGGGGCCUGAGAAGGAGCAACUCAUCAGGAACUUCAAGGCUCAGACCAGCUAGAUCCGAUGCCGUUCUUCAGGCGGGGGAAUGGCUGCUGCCCCUUCAGGUCUGACUGCAUUUACCUGCACCAGCUCCCAGACAGGGCCCCCACCUCAGAUCCUCCCUGGCCUGAGUAUGCAGCUGGCCUCUAUGGUGGUCACAACAGCAUUCCUAGGGGUCACCAAGCCAGAGGAGGAAGUGUUCUUCAUGAACUGUGCCCUGACUGUGGCCUUCUGGGGUUCA